rnacentral:rRNA from 1 species
ACGAACGCUGGCGGCGCGCCUAACACAUGCAAGUCGAACGGAGCUUAGAGAGCUUGCUUUUUAAGCUUAGUGGCGAACGGGUGAGUAACGCGUGAGUAACCUGCCCUAGAGUGGGGGACAACAGUUGGAAACGACUGCUAAUACCGCAUAAGCCCACGGUGCCGCAUGGUACUGAGGGAAAAGGAUUUAUUCGCUUUAGGAUGGACUCGCGUCCAAUUAGCUAGUUGGUGAGGUAACGGCCCACCAAGGCGACGAUUGGUAGCCGGACUGAGAGGUUGAACGGCCACAUUGGGACUGAGACACGGCCCAGACUCCUACGGGAGGCAGCAGUGGGGGAUAUUGCACAAUGGGGGAAACCCUGAUGCAGCGACGCCGCGUGGAGGAAGAAGGUUUUCGGAUUGUAAACUCCUGUCGUUAGGGACGAUAAUGACGGUACCUAACAAGAAAGCACCGGCUAACUACGUGCCAGCAGCCGCGGUAAAACGUAGGGUGCAAGCGUUGUCCGGAAUUACUGGGUGUAAAGGGAGCGCAGGCGGGAAGACAAGUUGGAAGUGAAAACCAUGGGCUCAAUCCAUGAAUUGCUUUCAAAACUGUUUUUCUUGAGUAGUGCAGAGGUAGAUGGAAUUCCCGGUGUAGCGGUGGAAUGCGUAGAUAUCGGGAGGAACACCAGUGGCGAAGGCGGUCUACUGGGCACCAACUGACGCUGAGGCUCGAAAGCAUGGGUAGCAAACAGGAUUAGAUACCCUGGUAGUCCAUGCCGUAAACGAUGAUUACUAGGUGUUGGGGGAUUGACCCCCUCAGUGCCGCAGUUAACACAAUAAGUAAUCCACCUGGGGAGUACGACCGCAAGGUUGAAACUCAAAGGAAUUGACGGGGGCCCGCACAAGCAGUGGAGUAUGUGGUUUAAUUCGAAGCAACGCGAAGAACCUUACCAGGUCUUGACAUCCGAUGCAUAACACAGAGAUGUGUGAAAUCCUUCGGGACAUCGAGACAGGUGGUGCAUGGUUGUCGUCAGCUCGUGUCGUGAGAUGUUGGGUUAAGUCCCGCAACGAGCGCAACCCUUAUUGUUAGUUGCCAUCAUUAAGUUGGGCACUCUAGCGAGACUGCCGGUGACAAACCGGAGGAAGGUGGGGAUGACGUCAAAUCAUCAUGCCCCUUAUGACCUGGGCUACACACGUACUACAAUGGCGUUAAACAAAGAGAAGCAAGACCGCGAGGUGGAGCAAAACUCAAAAACAACGUCUCAGUUCAGAUUGCAGGCUGCAACUCGCCUGCAUGAAGCCGGAAUCGCUAGUAAUCGCGGAUCAGCACGCCGCGGUGAAUACGUUCCCGGGCCUUGUACACACCGCCCGUCACACCACGAGAGUUUGUAACACCCGAAGUCGGUGAGGUAACCUUUUAGGGGCCAGCCGCCUAAGGUGGGAUAGAUGAUUGGGGUG